rnacentral:misc_RNA from 1 species
ACAAACUUGGUCAUUUAGAGGAAGUAAAAGUCGUAACAAGGUUUCCGUAGGUGAACCUGCGGAAGGAUCAUUACCAAUCUUUAGUGGGCCUUGGCUUGUCCAUGGUCUCACGAAAUUUUUAUUUAAAACCCACUCAUAUAAUAAGGUAAACCUGUAUAUUUAUGAUAUAAAUAAAGAUCACUUUCAACAACGGAUCUCUUGGCUCUCAGAGACAGACAAACUUGGUCAUUUAGAGGAAGUAAAAGUCGUAACAAGGUUUCCGUAGGUGAACCUGCGGAAGGAUCAUUACCAAUCUUUAGUGGGCCUUGGCUUGUCCAUGGUCUCACGAAAUUUUUAUUUAAAACCCACUCAUAUAAUAAGGUAAACCUGUAUAUUUAUGAUAUAAAUAAAGAUCACUUUCAACAACGGAUCUCUUGGCUCUCGCAUCGAUGAAGAACGCAGC